rnacentral:rRNA from 1 species
AUACGGAGGGGGCUAGCGUUGUUCGGAAUUACAGGGCGUAAAGGGCGCGUAGGCGGACUAUCAAGUCAGGGGUGAAAGGCCUGGGCUCAACCCGGGAACUGCCUUUGAAACUGAAAGUCUAGAGUCCGAGAGAGGAUAGCGGAAUUCCCAGUGUAGAGGUGAAAUUCGUAGAUAUUGGGAAGAACACCAGUGGCGAAGGCGGCUAUCUGGCUCGGUACUGACGCUGAGGCGCGAAAGCGUGGGGAGCAAACAGGAUUAGAUACCCCGGUAGUCC